GACGAACGCUGGCGGCGUGCUUACCACAUGCAAGUCGAACGGUAAGGCUCCAGCUUGCUGGGGUACACGAGUGGCGAACGGGUGAGUAACACGUGGGUGACCUGCCCUGCACUUCGGGAUAAGCCUGGGAAACUGGGUCUAAUACCGGAUAGGACCAUGGUGUGGAUACUGUGGUGGAAAGUUUUUUCGGUGUGGGAUGGGCCCGCGGCCUAUCAGCUUGUUGGUGGGGUAAUGGCCUACCAAGGCGGCGACGGGUAGCCGGCCUGAGAGGGUGGACGGCCACAUUGGGACUGAGACACGGCCCAGACUCCUACGGGAGGCAGCAGUGGGGAAUAUUGCACAAUGGGCGGAAGCCUGAUGCAGCGACGCCGCGUGGGGGAUGACGGCCUUCGGGUUGUAAACUCCUUUCACCAUCGACGAAGGGUUUCUGACGGUAGAUGGAGAAGAAGCACCGGCUAACUACGUG
rnacentral:rRNA from 1 species